AGGAAGCCAGUCCUCUUUUCCUCCCUAGGCUUCCAGUUGGCCUCUAGCUGGUGAAAAGAAACAUGACUCCACACCAUUCCCGGGCUUAACUGGUGAGCCCUCGUCAGACACGUUGCCAAGUUCUGCAGAGAGACCCUGGGCAUAAUCAAAGGCAGCUGUGUAGCUUCACUGACAAUCCUUCCGGAGGAAAAUGUAGCAAAUGAGGCACUGGUCUCAAGACAGAGACGAUAGAUGAGAGAGAAUGGUUUUCUUAAAGCAUAUGGGACUGAAGAUGUCAAAACAAAAUGUAAUUUCUUAGUGUC